rnacentral:rRNA from 1 species
GUCCACGCCCUAAACGAUGUCAACUAGGUGUUGGGAGCGCAAGUUCUUGGUACCGCAGCUAACGCGUGAAGUUGACCGCCUGGGGAGUACGGUCGCAAGAUUAAAACUCAAAGGAAUUGACGGGGACCCGCACAAGCGGUGGAUGAUGUGGAUUAAUUCGAUGCAACGCGAACAACCUUACCUACCCUUGACAUGUCCGGAAGGCUGCUGAAAGGCGGUUGUGCCCGCAAGGGAACCGGAACACAGGUGCUGCAUGGCUGUCGU